rnacentral:tRNA from 1 species
GCGGGGGUGGCGGAGCGGUCAAACGCGUCAGACUCAAGAUCUGAUCCCUAGUGGGUUCGUCGGUUCAAAUCCGGCCCCCCGCA